GUGGGGCACUGGGGACAGAGGCAGAGUGUCUCGAUGGCCUCUGCUGGCAUGUGGUGCCUGGCAUGUUGUAGGCAGUCAGCAAACAGUUCCUGAAUGAAUGAAUAAAUGACUGGAUGGAUAAGUGAAUGAAUGAAAGGGUUGGCAGGAUGCCCUGGUUCCCACGGGGCUGGGAUGCUCACGUUUGCCCCGUAUCCCAAGAGAGAACACUGUGUCCAGAGGGAGGUGGUGGAGCUGGCAUGGACACAGGGCUGGCUGGCGGCCACCCGCGGCCAGGAGCAGGACUGGGGAGGCCAGGCGCUGCUUGGAUCAGCCUUGGAGCCCCUAUGGGCACUCCGGUUCUCCAGGCAACAGCUUCCAGUCCUUUAGCCCCUCAUGUCACGGUUUAACACACACACAAGCCCCAAAAGAGGCCCCCCACUGCACCCCUCAACGUCCUCUCUGUGCAGCUUUUCCCAGCCCUUCACAUCUGCAGGAGACUCAGUCCUGAGAGGCCAGGCCGGGAUGGGCGGGGGCUAAGAAGGGAGGGAGGAACCAAGGUUUCUCCUCCAGCCCAGGGAGCCAGGGGCUGGCAUUCUGUGUCCAGGACUUCGGGCCCUCUGUGAGCCUCUGUCCGCCAAGGCGAUGGAGCUGUGUUUGGAGUCCCUCGCCACUGCCUUCAGAGAAGGUGACAGAGGGCCAUGUCUGAAACAUUCUCCCACAACCAGGAACCCUCAGCAGCCGCUGAAGAGGAAAGGCAGUUAAAUGGAAAGACUUCUGAGCAAGUGGAGGAAAAGUCACGUGUGACCUAGGGAGGGGCUCCCACAGGAAGGGGCAAUGCCCUUGCCCUGUUCACCUAGCCUCCAGGUGGCUUCCCACUUGAAAUUUCAGAGGAUGGCAGAAACCUACUUACAAGGAAAUGAAAGAGGGCACAGCAACCUUAAGACCAGAGCAGCCCACGAUAUUUUUUAAUGAGGGCAAAAAUAGAAGACUUGCAAAAGACCCCUGAAAAUAAUGCCUGGAAGCUGCGAAACAUCAGACUGACACCGCACAAAAGAGGUCCAGCUGAGCAGGAGAAAAGCUUGAGAAGCAUCCAGAACAAUGUAGGUGGAGAGGCUAAGAAGAAAGAGGAGCCCACAUGGAAUGAAUAACCAAGGUCGGGACAGAGGAAGGUUCGCCAGAACUGGGAGGGCUGAAAUUGGACAUUGAGAUAAAUUAAAGAGUGUUCUUUAAAACUGUCAAGACUUUGGCUGGUCAAUAAGUAAACUGCAAACGAGUGUUCCUAAACCACAGCAGCAAUGCUCCCUGGAGGAGGGAAGGAGGCCGGGGCUGCCACUCUCCCAGGUGGCUGCGUCCCGGCCUUUGCCAUUGAUGUGUGCUUUCUCCAGGCUCACAGAUGUCCCUGGGCCGGUUGCAUCUGUGACCAGGACUCUGCCACCUGCCUGUGGCUUGCUGAUCAGCUGGUCACCCAGGAAUGUUAGGGAUGAACAGAGACCUAGAACUCAGGCUCCAUGGAUCUGGCAGCACCAGGAGACGAGGUUUCAAAUCUCAUGGCUGGGCCAGCCAGCCAGGUGCCCUGGAACUGUUGUGAUCCCUGCUCCUUGCCGGGCUUAGCCUCCUCUUACUUCAGCCCAGAAGUCCCCGAGUACCCACUCAACAAAUGCCAUCCCUUUAAUUUCUGUGGCCUGCUGCCAUCACGGCUCGCCUAAUUCAUUCCCUCCACACCCUAAGUGUCCACGGAAGUGGCUGAAACAGUAAAACCACAGAGGAGCAUUCAUUCCAGUCCCCAAG
rnacentral:lncRNA from 1 species